AAGUCUGAUGUGAAAGCCCCCGGCUCAACCGGGGAGGGUCAUUGGAAACUGGGGAACUUGAGUGCAGAAGAGGAGAGUGGAAUUCCACGUGUAGCGGUGAAAUGCGUAGAGAUGUGGAGGAACACCAGUGGCGAAGGCGACUCUCUGGUCUGUAACUGACGCUGAGGCGCGAAAGCGUGGGGAGCGAACAGGAUUAGAUACCCUGGUAGUCCACGCCGUAAACGAUGAGUGCUAAGUGUUAGAGGGUUUCCGCCCUUUAGUGCUGCAGCAAACSCAUUAASCAYUCCGCCUGGGGAGUACGGUCGCAAGACUGAAACUCAAAGGAAUUGACGGGGGCCCGCRCAAGCGGUGGAGCAUGUGGUUUAAUUSGAAGCAACGCGAAGAACCUUACCAGGUCUUGACAUCYUCUGACAACCCUAGAGAUAGGGCUUCCCCUUCGGGGGCAGAGUGMCAGGUGGUGCAUGGUUGUCGUCAGCUCGUGUCGUGAGAUGUUGGGUUAAGUCCCGCAACGAGCGCAACCCUUGAUYUUAGUUGCCASCAUUCAGUUGGSCACUYUAAGGUGACUGCCGGUGACAAACCGGAGGAAGGUGGGGAUGACGUCAAAUCAUCAUGCCCCUUAUGMCCUGGGCUACACACGUGYUMCAAUGGGCAGAACAAAGGGCAGCAAAGCCGSGAGGYUAAGCCAAUCCCACAAAUCUGUUYUCAGUUCGGAUCGCAGUCUGCAACUSGAYUGCGUGAAGCUGGAAUCGYUAGUAAUCGCGGAUCASCAUGCCGCGGUGAAUACGUUCCCGGSCCUUGUACACACCGCCCGUCACACCACGAGAGUUUGUAACACCCGAAGUCGGUGAGGUAACCUUUUGGAGCCAGCCGCCGAAGGUGGGACAGAUGAUUGGGGGAAGU
rnacentral:rRNA from 1 species